UACGUAGGGGGCAAGCGUUGUCCGGAUUUAUUGGGCGUAAAGAGCAGUGUAGGCGGCUAGGUAGGUCCGUUGUGAAAACUCGAGGCUCAACCUCGAGACGCCGAUGGAAACCAUCUAGCUAGAGUCCGGAAGAGGAGAGUGGAAUUUCUGGUGUAGCGGUGAAAUGCGCAGAUAUCAGGAAGAACACCCGUGGCUAAGGCGGCUCUCUAGUACGGUACUGACGCUGAGACGCGAAAGCGUGGGGAGCGAACAGG
rnacentral:rRNA from 1 species